rnacentral:rRNA from 1 species
AUUGAACGCUGGCGGCAUGCCUUACACAUGCAAGUCGAACGGCAGCACGGGAGCAAUCCUGGUGGCGAGUGGCGAACGGGUGAGUAAUAUAUCGGAACGUGCCCAGUCGUGGGGGAUAACGUAGCGAAAGCUACGCUAAUACCGCAUACGAUCUAUGGAUGAAAGCGGGGGAUCGCAAGACCUCGCGCGAUUGGAGCGGUCGAUAUCAGAUUAGGUAGUUGGUGGGGUAAAAGCCUACCAAGCCUUCGAUCUGUAGCUGGUCUGAGAGGACGACCAGCCACACUGGAACUGAGACACGGUCCAGACUCCUACGGGAGGCAGCAGUGGGGAAUUUUGGACAAUGGGCGCAAGCCUGAUCCAGCAAUGCCGCGUGCAGGAUGAAGGCCUUC